AUACGUAGGGGGCGAGCGUUGUCCGGAAUGACUGGGCGUAAAGGGCGUGUUGGCGGCGGUGUAAGGCUGGAGUGAAAGUCCCGGAUUCAAUGUGGGAAUUGCUUUGGAUACUGCAGGGCUAGCGUGCGGAAGAGGUAAGUGGAAUUCCCAGUGUAGCGGUGAAAGGCGUAGAUAUAUGGAGGAACACCAGUGGCGAAGGCGGCUCUCUGGUCUGUAACUGACGCUGAGGCUCGAAAGCGUGGGGAGCAAACAGGAUUAGAUACCCUGGUAGUCCACGCCGUAAACGAUGAGUGCUAAGUGUUGGAGGGUUUCCGCCCUUCAGUGCUGCAGCUAACGCAUUAAGCACUCCGCCUGGGGAGUACGGCCGCAAGGCUGAAACUCAAAGGAAUUGACGGGG
rnacentral:rRNA from 1 species